CCUCACAGAGCCUUGGCAGCUGAUGGUGAACAUACAAACUCCUCCUGUUCGAAGCAUAUUGAACCCCUCACCUCUCUCCUCAAUGCACCACAUUUCAGACGGUAAUGGCCUGAGGUCAUUUUCCAUUCUGUAAUGUGUGUGUCAGUGGAGGCAGGCAAAGGUGAGACACUUUAAAGCGGGCGUGGGCAGAAGCAGGAAACCAGAAAGGAAGGAGGAGGGAUGCGCCGUAGUGGAGUUCUCGCCACUACUAUCCACCCCAAAGGUGCAGCCGCGGCCAUCCGCAAGAGAAUGGAGGAGCCGGCCGCCUGGAAGCGGAGGAAUGGCCGCCAAACACAAGGGGAGGAGGGUCUCCCUAGAGGCGUUGGCCGAGGACCAAGCUACGCCGUAUCGGAGAACCGGCGAGUAGACAGGGAUGACCUACCGGCAGACAGGUCGCAAGGCAUGCCCCCACCCCAGGGAAAGGGGCUCCCCGGCCUGAGAGAACAGGGGAGGAAUGUGGCAGGGCGGAGGGUGUGGCAAAUAAUAAUUGAAAGCCUUUUAGCAUAAGGCUGCAGCAUAACAAAAUGUGAAGAA